rnacentral:rRNA from 1 species
UAACACGUAGGUGACCUACCCCAAAGAGGGGGAUAACGGCCCGAAAGGGCUGCUAAUACCCCAUGUGAUUAGCGAUUCAUUUUGCUAAUGAAAGCUUCCGCAAGGAGUGUGCUUUGGGAGGGGCCUGCGGCGGAUUAGAUUGUUGGUGGGGUAAUGGCCUACCAAGUCGAUGAUCCGUAGCUAGUCUGAGAGGACGAUUAGCCACACUGGCACUGACACACGGGCCAG